rnacentral:lncRNA from 1 species
UGGGCAGGCAAAGUGAAGUGCAAAAUACAGGGUGGCUUAAAUCUCUGAGCUCCAAUUUCCCCUUAUCUGUGAAAUGGAAGGAACCCACAUAGAUUGACUUCUCAGUUUGUGGCGAGGAUUACAUGAACUACUAUGCUUAUAAGGCAAAAAUAGAGUCUUUGCCGCCGCGCCGGCGAGCGCCGCCCGGGAGGCAGCGGCUGGAGGAGCGGACGGGCCCCGCGGGGCCCGAGGGCAAGGAGCAGCCGCCUGCCUUGGCCUCCCAAAGUGCCGAGAUUGCAGCCUCUGCCCGGCUGCCACCCCGUCUGGGAAGUGAGGAGUGUUUCUGCCUGGCCGCCCA